GACGAACCGUCCGAACGUUAUUCGGAAUCACUGGGCUUAAAGGGUGCGUAGGCGGCGCGGAAAGUUGGGUGUGAAAUCCCUCGGCUUAACCGAGGAACUGCGCCCAAAACUACCGUGCUCGAGGGAGAUAGAGGUGAGCGGAACUUAGGGUGGAGCGGUGAAAUGCGUUGAUAUCCUAAGGAACACCGGUGGCGAAAGCUGCUCACUGGAUCUCUUCUGACGCUGAGGCACGAAAGCUAGGGUAGCGAACGGG
rnacentral:rRNA from 1 species